rnacentral:rRNA from 1 species
AGCAGCCGCCGCGGGAAAACGUAGGGUGCAAGCGUUAAUCGGAAUUACUGGGCGUAAAGCGUGCGCAGGCGGUUAUAUAAGACAGAUGUGAAAUCCCCGGGCUCAACCUGGGAACUGCAUUUGUGACUGUAUAGCUAGAGUACGGCAGAGGGGGAUGGAAUUCCGCGUGUAGCAGUGAAAUGCGUAGAUAUGCGGAGGAACACCGAUGGCGAAGGCAAUCCCCUGGGCCUGUACUGACGCUCAUGCACGAAAGCGUGGGGAGCAAACAGGAUUAGAUACCCCCGUAGUCCCUGUCUCUUAUAC